rnacentral:lncRNA from 1 species
CCAGGUCAGGCGCCAAGCUUCGGGGCGGCCAGGGCUCCGGCUUCCGCGCCCCCCUGAGAUCCGCGCAGUCGGGCGCUUCCCCACCCGGGACCGGACCUCGGAGCCUUCUUGCCGAGCCUGAGCGCCAACUUCGCCAGGAACGUCCCUAACUCCAGGGCACCCUGCGGGGAGAGAGGGCGCUGCUGCGGGGCACAAGCCGAGAGGACGCGCCGCUGGCGGAGAAGCCAGCAUCCGCGGGGUCGCUCGGGCGCCCCUGAGUGGGCAGCAGCGGCAGCAGACCUCUCUCCCGGGAGUUCCGGACCUGCCAGCGCUGGGGAUUCCUCCCGGGCAGGCGCUCGCCCUCUCUUUUAUGGGAAAACACUGGUGUAUCCAAGAGAAAUAAUUCCCUGUGGGAUCUCUGAAGAACAAAGCCAAAAGGACACCUGCUUCCAGGAUUCCAGAUCUGAGCUUUUAUCAUAUUAUCUUUCAAGUUUCAGACCACAUGAAGGGAGGUGUUUUAUCCCAUCUUACAGAGGAGGAAAGUAAAGUCAAGGAGAAGCUUUAAAUAGAGAAGGAUUUGUACCAGUGCUCUUUGGCCGCACAGUUUGGAUUUACCAGCUCUUUUCCUCUUUCGUUGCCAUUUAUUUUCCCGUGGCGACAACACACCAUCCUCAAAUAGUUUCUGGAAUCCUUGUCCCUGGGUGACCCUGCUGGAUACUUGCUCUGUGUCUUACAAACCUGGUUUGGGGAGGUUUUAAGAUAUUUUUUUAAGCUCCAGACAACUGGAGCCUAAACUCAUGAGUCACAUGCUAAAUGUGUAUAACCCUGUGUCUCAGCACUCCAUUUUCUGGGGGUUCAGUUCUUCUUGAGACAGUGAUUUCCAGUGGUGGUUGUUCUGGUGCCAGAGAACAGAACCUGAGAGCAAAGGACCUUGGUUUGACUGGUGGCUCAGUCACUUAUUACCUGUGAGACUGGCUAGUCACUGACCUCUGUAAGAUUUAGAUGAAUGGGGAAACCUUAAUCAUUGAGGACAGUGUCUGCCAUAUCUCAUAUACUUAGAAAGUACUAGAUAUGAAGUAUCAUUAAUUAUUAUGCACAUUAGUUAUGUAGUAGGGCCAGGGCAUAAGUGAAGGGAUGAGUAGCUGGCUGUCCAUGCUUCUAUCAUAACCUG